AAAAACCAGUGGUUGUUAGGAAUAAUUUAAAAGUCACAUCUUUUAGAGGAAUGUCAUUGUCCACAAAAGUGAACAACUCAAUCCUCAUUAAUCCAAAAUUCGAAAAACUUGCUGAAAUGAAAGAAUGGAUUGAAAGAAACAAAGAGAUGUUGACAGAGAUGGUCACUCAAAAGACAUGAUUUGCCAAAUAUGUCAAAUAUUUCACUGCCUCCAAAGAAUAAAAUUAUCAACAUCAAGGACAUUUUAGAACACUC